GAAAGCAGAGUCAAUGCCCUGACAUUGGACGCGUCAAGUGUGCAAAGUUCACCGACUGUUUCAUUCCUAGGAAGUAUGGAUUGCUACUAUUCCCUGUCUAGAAUAAAUCCCGAUGACGAGAAUGCCGUGAAGAACAUGCAGCAAGCACGAUUGAAAUACGUUUUGAAACAACUCCAGAAAGAAAGGGAAGACACAACGUUCGGAAGACCUUGUUUGUUUUGCAAGAAGUUUUU